rnacentral:rRNA from 1 species
UACGUAGGGACCGAGCGUUGUCCGGAUUCAUUGGGCGUAAAGAGCUCGUAGGCGGCUGUUCAAGUCGAACGUGAAAACUCGGAGCUCAACUCCGAGCCUGCGUUCGAUACUGGACGGCUAGAGUCUGGUAGGGGGAUCUGGAAUUCCUGGUGUAGCGGUGAAAUGCGCAGAUAUCAGGAAGAACACCCGUGGCGAAGGCGGCUCUCUGGGACGGUACUGACGCUGAGACGCGAAAGCGUGGGGAGCGAACAGG